rnacentral:rRNA from 1 species
UUGGCUCGUUCUAUAUGGUCAGUCAUCCAAAUAGCUUCUGGCUUGUAUCCUCCCUGUAGUGUUGCUAAUGUAUUUGGCAACUGGUUACAUGGGAUUGAUCCCAGGUUUAGAACUCUUCUCAGGGUGGGAGCGCUUGCCGUUAUUUGGUCGCUUUGGCUAUGUAGAAAUGAUAAGGUUUUUAACGAUAAAAGUACUUUUCUGUUGCAGGUUAUCUACAGAUGUACUGGGACUCUUCGUUUAUGGUCCUCUCUACAACGCAUGGAGAAUCGAGGCUUGUUUACGGAGGUGUGUACACGAUUGGAGGCUACGGCGAGGAAUACUUUUACCCAACAUGGGUGGCAGCAUGAUCUAAGGAUUGCCCCCCCUCCACAUUAG